GCCGGUUCGCGCGACUGGCGAGAAAGAUGGGCCACCAUCGGGGAACGCGAACGGUUUCCGCCGCUCGCCUGGGCACCCACU
rnacentral:ncRNA from 2 species